CACAUGAAGCAUGUGCAUACAAGCUCCACUGAGCUGUUGGAUACACUCUGUCCCCUCACAGGUCUCAGUGUGACUGCACUGCAGAUAUUCUGGCAUAAUGAACUGAGAAAUCUUUAACUGCUGUAGAAGUUAAUUCAGCUGGACCCCAUUGGCUCAGGAAGGCAGUUCCAUUUACCAGGGUUUGAGGAUGAUAAAAAGUUAGUGAAAGGGGUGACAUCUUAAGAGUUAUAACAACUGUCUCUGAAGUGUUUGCCCACAGCUGGAGAACCCUGGUAGGUGAAUUUCUUGGUUCCAGAAUUCAAUUCAUCUGUCAGCUCUGCAUCUCAGCUGUCCCGUUCCAGGGCUGCAGAACCAAAGGAAUGUUGGCUUUGUGGUCAUUGCAGGUCAUGGGUCUGUCUGUUAAAAUUUAACAAAUAGCAGCUUUAUUUCACUUGCUCAGCACUGGACUGUAGAUUUCCCCCUCAAUUUUUAUCCUGAAGAAUUAGCAUAAAAGGUUAUGAACCUAAAUCUUGUAUGUGGCUAGCAUGAAAAAAGUAGUGUGUGAAAGGUUGGCCUUAUUUGGUAUUACCAGCAGUUAAUGGUUACAAAGUGUUUGCAGUUACUCAACCUUUUCACCUGCUGCUAAGAGAGUUAAGAGACAUGACAGUUAAAUCUGAUUUUAAUGGUUUAAAGGAUGUAUUCUGUCCAAGGAAGUCUGCAAAACUCCUGAAUUGCAAAAGUUCUGAACUCGUUUUGUCAGUUAGAGAUUUUUCUUUACAGAAUCAACUUUAUGUAUGAACCAUCUUUCAUAAGUUACUGUAUGUAUAAAUGAAUUAUUUUCAAUGAUUUAGCAUUAAUCCUGCUCUCUGUAAUUCCUGUCAUUCCUUGUAGUAGUUAUUAAAUAAAUAUGGAGAGUAAUUAUUUUAAUUUUACAGAAGUAAAAUUAAAUUACUUGUAAGUAAUUUAGGAUUUAUUUAAGAAUCCAGACGUUUGGAAAAAAAACAUUUUUUUAGAAGAAAUAAUCCACUGGAAACAUCAGUUUAAUGUCUUUCUCAAGCCUUUAUCAUCUUUAAUUAAGAUUUUUGUUGACUAAUUUUUUAUGAUUAGUCUGUUUAAAUAUUGGGUUCCUGACUACACUAUGACUAAGCAGUGUAGAUGCUUACGUCUUAAGCUGAGAGCAGAAAGAAUUCAUCAUUCAUACAAAACUGUGCAGUGAAAUAGAUCUCAAGCAACAAAAUUCCAAUCAUCUCAUAAGCAGACAUAAGUGCAUAUGUAAAGCUACAAGUGAGGCUUGCAAAGGGGAAUCAAGAAAUCACCUCUCACUUAGUGCUGUCUCCAGUGUUUGUCAAAAAUUAAUGCAAAUGAUUGUUAGAAAUACUGAGUACACAAUCUUUGUUUGACUUACAGAUUGCACUCAAAUGAACGUGUAUGUCAAGUGCCACAGAGGAAAGAAUAAGGCCCCAAAAAUCACUUCCUUUUAACUCCAGGUACUUGUUAUUUAUGCUUUCAUUUUUAUUGACAUAAACAUAAUAUUUAGAAUGAAAUCAUCUACAUGUAAAUAAUUUUUUUUUGUUGAUUAUCUUUUUCUCCUGAGCUAAUUGAAUCGUUGCAAAGCUUGUGCAGGGAUUCUAGAAUACUCUUCAAUAUUAGGAUUGUCUGCCAAGAACACUCUCCAGUUGUGCUAAAAAGCUUCUCAGCUCCUGUCAGUCUUUGUAAAAUCCUAUUUUUCUCGUAACUCAAAACAUUUUGGAUAACUUGUUUUCUGAUAAGUUAGUGCCAUAAUUAAACUCCAGUGAAUUUGCUGCAUCCUUUGCAUCUUAUCUAAUAGAUCCACCCUUUUUUAAAAACGUCUUUUCAGUAAUACUGCAUUUCCUGAAAACAGCAAGAUGAUUUAUAAUUUAAAAAUAUGAAAUUACUAUUACAUAAUGUUGCUUCAAAAGAAGUUAACAAUUUAUCCUUUAUAUCAGUUUAUCUGCAUGGGCAAUCUAUUAGAAAAUUGUAACUAAAGAGACAGAAAAUGAAGUGGUUUUUUUGCUUUUACUUUUGUUUUUAAACAUCCCAGUUAGUGAGUAAUUAUUCCAUAUUCCAUGGUCUCCAUGGAAUAUUCCAUGGUCUCCCUACUCCACAAUAUAAGUAUUCAAAUAGUUUGAUAUAUAUUCCAAUAAGAAACUAAGCAGUUUUUUUUGUAUGUAAAUGGUAGUUUAUGGUGAGGAGGGCAUUUGUAUUUUAAAUAUGAAGAAAAUAUAAAGCUGAAUGUAUCCAUUUGGUGCAAAAAGAAAUACACAGACAAUCCCUUGCAUUGCUGCCAAAAGACUGACGUAUAAAUGAAUAAAAACAGUGUAAGUGUUGAAUUCCAUUCCUUAUGUUUUCCCUUGGAGAAUUGGAUGUUUUCUUUUUUGCAUGAGUGGCAAUGAAAGUGCAUGAAUUAAAUAAAACCCAAAAAACAAAACAAAACCCAAGAAAAUAAAACACCCAAAAAGAACCCCCAAACACAAUUGCAAUUAUUUCGUAGAGCAACUUCUGGUUCAUGGAGACCACAGUCUGAGCUUUGAUUGGAAAGGUUAGAUUUUAACCAGCUGAACUUCAUUGAAAAUUGGAGAAUGAGAGAAAUGGCAGUUACAAUGUAAUUUAUCUUGAUAACCAGAGAGAGAGAUUCACCACAUUUCUCUAGUGCAAAUACUUGCUUGACUAGGUUUUCUGGUUCUUUUUUUGCCUACUCUGAGUCCUUGACAGCUUUUCUGUGUGGCUUUCUAAUGUGGAUUUCUACUGGGCUUUUCCUAGAGAUGUAUUGAAGAACAUGAGAAAAGUAGAAAGAUUUUAUUUCUCAUGUUUUAUUACCAGCUCCUCAUUACCUUUACCUGCUGUAUGAUAAAUGUACACACUGUGAGGUAAUGCAAAUAAAGGCACAGCACAUAACAGAGGCGUAUAAAAAAUGUCAGAAAGUAGAGGUUCUAACCGAGGGGAAUUAUUUUGUACAUGUAAUUUGGGACUAUGGAAGAAGAAUUAGAAGUCAUGUUUAAAACUUCUGAAAUUACUCAGGAUUUUGUGGAGUGUUUAAUUCAGAUGUCUAAAAGCUAGUUAAAGGACUUCGCAAAGGUAUGUAAUUUUAUCAGUGAUCAAUUGUGUAGAAGAAUAUAUCUUCCAUGUCAAAAUAGAUUAAAAUUCAUAAUGGUAAUAUUUUAGUUUCAGAUAGUGAAAAACAACAAAAAUUGAGUGAAUAUGUGUGGUUUUGAAUUAAUUUUUAAGAUAUGAAAAGUUGUAGUAUGUCAGGGACUUGAGUGGAUAAAGGAGAAAUAAGCCAACAGCAACUGAAUAUUUGUGGGGAUUUAAAAUAUUAUAUAAAUAACAUGUGCACAUUUGAAGCAAUGUUACAGGGCACAUCAGAGAAAUUCAGGACAGAUUUGUGCAGUCAUUGGUGUUCUUCCCAGGUGAGAUCUUUUCCACACUGCUGUAGUCCAUGGCCAUGAGAGUGUCCCUGAGUCCCCUCUGUGAGUGUCAUCUCCUGUGGAGGAGCAGCCAUCCCAGGAAGUGCAGUGGAAAGGACACCUCUGUCCCCUGGGUCAGAACUGCUGCUGGCACACAUUCUGGGGCACCUGGCUGGAUUUUUUCUGACUGUAUCCACCCUAAAGUACAAGAAUGUGUACACAGUAGCCUCUUAAAUCCAGUGUACUCCCAAGAGACGAGGUCCUGUUAUAAAUUCUCACUAGUAGAGAAAAAAUGCUGUGCUAGGAUCACAGUGCUUUUCCUCAAGCUUCUCAGGAAAUACUUUGUACUUAUUUUAGUCCUGACAGGCCAACAAUCAGAUUAUACAAAUUUGUUUUACCAAGAAGCUGGGCAGGAAAGGUGGUCAGUGUCACAAAUUAUCUUCUUAUCAGAUUCAGGUUUGCUAUCCCACUUAACUGUUCCAAAUUCUACAUUGACAAAUUCCAUUUUAGCAAUCUGGAAUUUGUCCCCUUCCUUCUGAAGCCAGAUGAGAGGGAGAUGUCUGUAUAUUUCCAGUUAUCACAGAAAUCUUUUACAGAAAUCUUUAUAAUUCUUUUAUAAUUUCCUUUCUAUUGAAUCCCUUCUUUUAGGAAAUUUUAGUAAUUUGUUUUGAGGGAGUGAGAGAGAAUUUUUAAAAAAUUUUUACUCAUAUAUUUGUAUCAGAAGUAAUCAUCAUCAUCAUCAAUAAAUAUUAGAAUGGAGUAGAGAGGCAUUGACAUAUUGAAAAACUAAGAUUAAGAUUAUGAGUCCUACUAAUUAUUUACAGUCAGCUUGAUGUUAUCAGAGACUCUCAAUACAGAAAUUGUGGCAGGAGUUUAUAUUUGCAGGACGCAUGUACUACUUACCAUCUUAUAUGUCCCUUACAACACAAUUCCCAGAUAUAAUGAUGAACCAAAAGCGGAAAAAAAGAAAAUAAAAAUGUGCUUUUUUCUGGGAUUUUUUUGUUGUAGGUUUUGGGGGGUUUUUAAAUGAAAAGGUGGAACUUUCCUUUAAAAAAUAUGAAAAGUACAAUAAUAAUUAUAAAAUAGCAGACUUGUUGAGGCAAAUGCAUUGAAGUCAUUCAGAAAAAUAACUGCAUGACAUCAUGGGAGAAAGAUAGAACCAAAAAAGGAUACGUUUUGCAGGCCAAAUAGCUUCUAUUCAUUCCCAAAGAAUUUGUCCUACUCACACAAGAAUUGGGAGAAAGAAAAAAA
ensembl:lncRNA